rnacentral:rRNA from 1 species
CGUACACGGUGGAUGCCCUGGCAGUCAAGGCGAUGAAGGACGUGCUAAUCUGCGAUAAGCGUCGGUAAGGUGAUAUGAACCGUUUAACCGGCGAUUUCCGAAUGGGGAACCCCGAUCAUUAUCCAAAUGAGGCGAACCGGGGGAACUGAAACAUCUAAGUACCCCGAGGAAAAGAAAUCAACCGAGAUUCCCCCAGUAGCGGCGAGCGAACGGGGAGCAGCCCGAGCCUAAUCAGUGUGUGUGUUGUGGAAGCGUCUGGAAAGGCGCGCGAUACAGGGUGACAGCCCCGUACACAAUGCACAUGCUGUAGCUCGAUGAGUAGGGCGGGCCGUGGUACCUGUCUGAAUAUGGGGGGACCAUCCUCCAAGGCUAAAUACUCUGACUGACCGAUAGUGAACCAGUACCGUGAGGGAAAGGCGAAAAGAACCCCGGCGAGGGGAGUGAAAAAGAACCUGAAACCGUGUACGUACAAGCAGUGGGAGGCACCUUAUGCGUGUUAUGGCGUGCCUUUUGUAUAAUGGGUCAGCGACUUAUAUUCUGUAGCAAGGUUAACCGGGGAGCCGAAGGGAAACCGAGUCUUAACGGGCGUUAAGUUGCAGGGUAUAGACCCGAAACCCGGUGAUCUAGCCAUGGGCAGGUUGAAGGUUGGGUAACACUAACUGGAGGACCGAACCGACUAAUGUUGAAAAAUUAGCGGAUGACUUGUGGCUGGGGGUGAAAGGCCAAUCAAACCGGGAGAUAGCUGGUUCUCCCCGAAAGCUAUUUAGGUAGCGCCUCGUGAAUCAUCUCCGGGGGUAGAGCACUGUUUCGGCAAGGGGGUCGACUUCCAACCCGAUGCAAACUGCGAAUACCGGAGAUGUUAUCACGGGAGACACACGGCGGGUGUAACGUCCGUCGUGAAGAGGGAAACAACCCAGACCGCAGCUAAGGUCCCAAAGUCAUGGUUAAGUGGGAAACGAUGUGGGAAGGCCCAGACAGCCAGGAUGUUGGCUUAGAAGCAGCCAUCAUUUAAAGAAAGCGUAAUAGCUCACUGGUCGAGUCGGCCUGCGCGGAAGAUGUACGGGGCUAAACCAUGCACCGAAGCUGCGGCAGCGACGUUAUGCGUUGUUGGGUAGGGGAGCGUUCUGUAGCCUGCGAAGGUGUGCUGUGAGGCAUGCUGGAGGUAUCAGAAGUGCGAAUGCUGACAUAAGUAACGAUAAAGCGGGUGAAAAGCCCGCUCGCCGGAAGACCAAGGGUUCCUGUCCAACGUUAAUCGGGGCAGGGUGAGUCGACCCUAAGGCGAGGCCGAAAGGCGUAGUCGAUGGGAAACAGGUUAAUAUUCCUGUACUUGGUGUGUGGGUGAUGGAGGGACGGAGAAGGCUAUGUUAUGCCAAGCUAUGGCUGCUGGUUGGUACGCUCAAGGGCGAUCGGGUCAGAAAAUCUACCGGUCACAUGCCUCAGACGUAUCGGGAGCUUCCUCGGAAGCGAAGUAACAAAGCCCUCUUCCAGGAAAAGCUUCUAAACGUUGAAACAUGUCAAAUCGUACCCCAAACCGACACAGGUGGUCAGGUAGAGAAUACCAGGCGCUUGAGAGAACUCGGGUGAAGGAACUAGGCAAAAUGGUGCCGUAACUUCGGGAGAAGGCACGCUGAUUAGCUCGCCUGAUCAGUCGAAGAUACCAGCUGGCUGCAACUGUUUAUUAAAAACACAGCACUGUGCAAACACGAAAGUGGACGUAUACGGUGUGACGCCUGCCCGGUGCCGGAAGGUUAAUGGGGUUGCAAAGCUCUCGAAGCCCCGGUAAACGGCGGCCGUAACUAUAACGGUCCUAAGGUAGCGAAAUUCCUUGUCGGGUAAGUUCCGACCUGCACGAAUGGCGUAAUGAUGGCCAGGCUGUCUCCACCCGAGACUCAGUGAAAUUGAACUCGCUGUGAAGAUGCAGUGUACCCGCGGCAAGACGGAAAGACCCCGUGAACCUUUACUAUAGCUUGACACUGAACAUUGAGCCUUGAUGUGUAGGAUAGGUGGGAGGCUUUGAAGUGUGGACGCCAGUCUGCAUGGAGCCGGCCUUGAAAUACCACCCUUUAAUGUUUGAUGUUCUAACCCGAAUCCGGGGACAGUGUCUGGUGGGUAGUUUGACUGGGGCGGUCUCCUCCUAAAGAGUAACGGAGGAGCACGAAGGUUGGCUAAUCCUGGCAUCAGGAGGUUAGUGCAAUGGCAUAAGCCAGCUUGACUGCGAGCGUGACGGCGCGAGCAGGUGCGAAAGCAGGUCAUAGUGAUCCGGUGGUCUGAAUGGAAGGGCCAUCGUCAACGGAAAAGGUACUCCGGGGAUAACAGGCUGAUACCGCCCAAGAGUUCAUAUCGACGGCGGUGUUUGGCACCUCGAUGUCGGCUCAUCACAUCCUGGGGCUGAAGUAGGUCCCAAGGGUAUGGCUGUUCGCCAUUUAAAGUGGUACGCGAGCUGGGUUUAGAACGUCGUGAGACAGUUCGGUCCCUAUCUGCCGUGGGCGGAGAACUGAGGGGGGCUGCUCCUAGUACGAGAGGACCGGAGUGGACGCAUCACUGGUGUUCGGGUUGUCAGCCAUGGCACUGCCCGGUAGCUAAAUGCGGAGAGAUAAGUGCUGAAAGCAUCUAAGCACGAAACUUGCCCCGAGAUGAGUUCUCCCGAAGGAACGUUGAAGACGACGACGUUGAUAGGCCGGGUGUGUAAGCGCAGCAAUGCGUUGAGCUAACCGGUACUAAUGAACCGAGGUCUUGACCA